GCGUCGGUAGUGCAAUGGUUCAGCACGCGCUCCUCGGAUAGGGUGAAAUGUGGGUUCAAAUCUUAGCUGAGGCA